CAUGUAAAGUACAACGGAGUGCAAAAAAAAUAGUGUCAAUCGAAUGGAAAUUAAAUCUAAAAUAUAAGCAAGUCCUAAAACUAGGAGAGCAUGCAAGAUUAGCCUAUAUCUAAGUUUAGGGGUACAAUCGUCAAUUCACAAUUAUGGUUAAUAUUGAAUUAAAUUUCUAUUUUAUAAAAAUCCUAGUUAAAAUCAAUUAAAAUCUAAACUAGAUCUAAUAUUAUUUCUAAGAAUAUUUCUAAUAUUUCUAAUUAAAAGUUUGAACUUAAUAUUGUUUAAUUAACUUCUAAAAUAUUCUAAAUCCUAAAAUUAUUUCUAAUUGUUCUAAUAUUCUAAUUAACUAAUUCUAAAAUCAAUUUUUAAUAUUUCCACAAUUAAUCUCUAAUCCUAAAAUUAUUGAAUUCUAGUAUUUCUAAAAUUAAUUAACAUGUAAUUAACACACAAUUAACAUGAAAUGGGCCCUGGUGACUUGUUAGGGCAAAGCCCAACGGUGGGGGGCGUAUGUGGAUUAGUGGAGGCUCCAAGAGGGAAAUGGACGGGCCUAGAGGCCCACAGUCCACGUGUGAUACUCUGGAGAGGGGUAACGAUACCAAGUAUCCUCACACACAUGAGGUUCAGCACACCGACGGCGGAAUCGACGACGAACGGCGGUGGAAACGGCGGAGCAAGGACGACACAGCGAAUCCCAAACCUCAGUGCUGAAACAACGGCGCCGUCUCUGGACGCGCAAAGCUUGACCUUCUCCAAAUCGUGGCGCACCAAGCAAAGCAACACCAAUUCGCAACUCAAAACCAUCGUCGAACCUACCUUCUUGCUUCACCAGUUUAAAUAAUAAAAUCUAAAUGUGGAGGUUGAAUCGGAAAACUCACAAAACAGGUAUCGCAUAUUUCUGCUCUGGUUUUCGCUCGAUCCUUCUUCUUGAGCUAUUCUGAGAGGGCUUUGCGUCGUUGUUGUUCGAUGCGUUCUUUUGGUAUUGAAUCAAGAUGAAGCACGUCACGUCGAGCUGCCGAAUCGUGAUGAUUGACGAAUCAAGAUGGUGAUGACGAGUUUGAUUUCGUGGAGGAUCGCUUCUACUUUUUCGGUUUCGAUCUUCUCUCCUCCCGUCGAGGUUCUGUCUGAAUUUUGUGAAGUUGCUUAGAUUUUCGCAGGCUAUGGAGGAUGGCGAAUUGAAGACGUUGAUGAGAGAGUGGCAGGUUGUGGCUUUACCCCGGUUUCGGUUUCUGUUAUGAAAAGUUUAUUGAAGGAUGUUGAAGGUGGCUGAAGAAUUGAGGUUGAAGGAAUGGAAGAGAGGAAGAAUAUGGAAGAGAGCUCCUGAGAGAGGGAAGAAUUCGUGAAUUAUAUAGGGCUGAGUUUGAUUAGAAGAAGUUAGGAAGUUUUUUAGAUUUGUUAUUGGAUUGUGAAAUUAUGCAGGCUUCGGUAGCGGCUUUGAGUUGCUGUUGUGGAUUGAUGGUGUUAGAAGCAUGGUUCUGCAGGUGUAUAGCAGCUGGGAGUACAUUUGCAUUGGCUUGCAUUUGGAUUUGGUGUGUAGCUGCUGGCUCAGCGUGCGUUUCAAGUGCUUGUUGUUGUAGCUUUAGCAGCUUCUCACACGCACUUAAGUUGCAGCUUCUGUUUGCAUUGUACUGAUGUAUUGCUUUUGCAUCAUCUUUUCUUCUCAUUGCCAUUUUCAAAUUGCUUUUAUUUUAAUGUAUAUUAAUACUAGAAAAGUAGAAUUUGGAUUCAGGUCAUGAAUGGAUUAGAGUUGGAUUAAUUAAAUGGAUUUGUAUUAUGGAUUUGAAAUAUUGAAUUGGAUAUUGGUUCAUGAAUUUGGAUUUGGA